rfam:Felis catus isolate Cinnamon breed Abyssinian chromosome B2, whole genome shotgun sequence.
GCCUGGCUGGCUCAGUCGGAAGAGCAUGUGACUCCUAAUCUCAGGGUAGUGAGUUCAAGCCCCAUGUUGGGUA